UACGUAGGGGGCUAGCGUUGUCCGGAAUCAUUGGGCGUAAAGCGCGCGUAGGCGGCCCGGUAAGUCCGCUGUAAAAGUCAAAGGCUCAACCUUUGAAUGUCAGUGGAUACUGCCGGGCUAGAGUCCGGAAGAGGCGAGUGGAACUCCUGGUGUAGCGGUGAAAUGCGCAGAUAUCAGGAGGAACACCAAUUGCGAAGGCAGCUCGCUGGGACGUAACUGACGCUGAGACGCGAAAGCGUGGGGAGCAAACAGG
rnacentral:rRNA from 1 species